AACAGACAUCCAAAUGAUGCACGUCACACUGCUGCUAAAUAUACUGGAUGUAUUUGCAAAAAUAAUCUUCACUCUGGGUUUAUUUAUUAUCCACAUCUCAGUAUCGUUGUCAGUGGAUGAAGUUUGCCUUGGAAAUAUGGAUAACAACUGAGCCAUCUCCAUGACAACGGAACAAAACCCAUCCACUGGUGAAAACCAUCAAAUGCUGUGGAAAAUGCUAGUUACUAUGCGACCUCUGGCCAACCCAGCUGGUGCAUGGAAUAAUCCUAUAUCUGUCAGAGUGCCAGAUAAGGAGGGAAAAUCCUUCUUUUACCUGAGGUCCAGGGAAGCCAUCCAAUCCAGGUUGCCCAUCUCUUCCUACAGGACCUUCAUUGCCCUUCUGACCUAAAAUACCCGGGAACCCAGGUUUACCCUGCAGAGGUCCAGGGUCACCUGGGGUUCCUGGGAAGCCUGGAGGUCCAUCAGCACCCUACAUUGAGGAAAUAUAAUAAUGUUAAAUAGGUUAAAUCCAAGUAAAUUAAUAUGUAUCUACUUUUAACAACCAUCACAUAAACGUUUUGACAACUGAUAAGAGUUUAAAACAUUUAUCACUGUUGUUGGUAUAGUGCAAGAAAAAAACAACAACUUACCGUUUUUCCAUCCUCCCCAGGAUCACCCUUUGAGAUUGAAAUAAAGAAUGAAAUUAAAAGGAUAAUUUGCUAAAUAAAAUUUUGUAAUGAAACUACAUUAAACCAAACUACUUCUCUCAACAGAACAUGUAACAAAAGAUUUGCUUUACGCUACGCUAAGAAUUCAACUGCAUUCUACUAACUGGCUCUCCAUCAGCUCCUGGUGGUCCCUGGGGGCCCGGGGCGCCAGGUGGUCCAGCUGGUCCUCGGGGUCCCGGGACUGUUGAAGCAACUGAGCCGUCACUGCCGACUGAAAACUCAGUUGCGGGCCCUGGAGGGCCAGGGGGGCCAGGGGGGCCAGCAGGGCCAGGUUCUCCCUUAUUUCCUUGGUAGCCAAAGCCCGCACUGCCCUGGAGAUAAAGAAGCCUCAGUGAUUAA